rnacentral:ncRNA from 2 species
AUACGUGCUCCGGGGUCGGUGUAAGUCCGAACCGGCGGUGAUAGUCCGCGACCCGCGAACCGGUGGUUUCUCCUGGCUGGCCAGGAGAAGUCCCGCGAACGGUUGAACCGGUGAAAUUCCGGUACCGACAGUUAAAGUCUGGAUGAGAGAAGCACGUAC